AACGAACGCUGGCGGCAUGCCUAACACAUGCAAGUCGUACGAGACCUUCGGUCUAGUGGCGCACGGGUGCGUAACGCGUGGGAACCUGCCCUUAGGUUCGGAAUAACUCCCCGAAAGGGGUGCUAAUACCGGAUAAUGUCUUCGGACCAAAGAUUUAUCGCCUUUGGAUGGGCCCGCGUUGGAUUAGCUAGUUGGUAGGGUAAAAGCCUACCAAGGCGACGAUCCAUAGCUGGUCUGAGAGGAUGAUCAGCCACACUGGGACUGAGACACGGCCCAGACUCCUACGGGAGGCAGCAGUGGGGAAUAUUGGACAAUGGGCGAAAGCCUGAUCCAGCAAUGCCGCGUGAGUGAUGAAGGCCUUAGGGUUGUAAAGCUCUUUUACCCGGAAUGAUAAUGACAGUACCGGGAGAAUAAGCUCCGGCUAACUCCGUG
rnacentral:rRNA from 1 species